AGUAGGUCCAUCAAAACCAUAAUGAUGGUUGCCCUUGUCUUGAGGAAGACCAAGCAAUACACAAUAGAGCCAUCAUCAGAAACAUAUCUGAGUUCUAGGGGUUGAAUCCUCCAUCAUUUAAGGGUGAUCCAGAUUCGAUGGUUGCUGAGAGCUGGAUAAUGCAAAUAGAGAAGAUAUUCUUUAUUUUAGAAAUCAAUUGCUUGUAGCUAGAUUCAGAUAAGCCAAUAGUUCCAAGUUUCUUUAUCAUCUGAAGAGGAAACAACCAGUAUAGCUUGGUCAGGGUCAUGUUGAUAAGCGACCCUGGGUCAAUCCUAUUGCACCACCAAUAGGUAGUGUUCUUAUCCUAAUCCUAGGUGCAAACAAUGUUAGAAGAGGCAUGGUAAUCGUCCUUCUUAUAACCAAUGACUGUUUCAAGUGUGGGAGCACAGAUCACUUCGUGAG
rnacentral:lncRNA from 1 species